rnacentral:rRNA from 1 species
AUUGAACGCUGGCGGCAGGCCUAACACAUGCAAGUCGAGCGAGCGGCGGACGGGUGAGUAUUGUCUGGGAAACUGCCUGAUGGAGGGGGAUAACUACUGGAAACGGUAGCUAAUACCCCAUACCAUCAGAUGUGCCCAGAUGGGAUUGGCUAGUAGGUGGGGUAACGGCUCACCUAGGCGACGCUCCCUAGCUGGUCUGAGAGGAUGACCAGCCACACUGGAACUGAGACACGGUCCAGACUCCUACGGGAGGCAGCAGUGGGGAAUAUUGCACAAUGGGCGCAAGCCUGAUGCAGCCAUGCCGCGUGGUUGAAGAAGGCCUUCGGGUUGUAAAGCACUUUCAGCGGGGAGGCGUUACCCGCAGAAGAAGCACCGGCUAACUCCGUGCCAGCAGCCGCGGUAAUAG